AAAUCAUUCAGUAAAUGCAAAGUUAAAACGAUCAUACUGUUGUAUUCUUUUAUACUGUUUUAUUCGUACUGUUUUAAAUCAUUCAGUAAAUGCAAAGUUAAACCGAUGUGUCUUUAAUCUAGAUUUAAAAGUGCCUACUGUUGAAACACAUCUGAUCUCUUCUGAAAGCUGAUUCCAGCUACAGGUUCAUGCUGUUGUAUUCUUUUAUACUGUUUCAUUCGUACUGUUUUAAAUCAUUCAGUAAAUGCAAAGUUAAACCGUCGUGUUUUUCAUCUAGAUUUAAAAGUGUCUACUGUUGAAACACAUCUGAUCUCUUCUGAAAGCUGAUUCCAGCUCCAGGUGGCAUAUUAACUGAAUGCUGAUGCACCUUGUAUUUCGAUUGCUUUGCCUGCUUGAAACAUGUGAAGAAUUGACAAUAAAUAAUCUUUAUCAAGUGUUAUACAUUAAAAAGUGGAUAAGUAACAAAAAUGUCACCCCUGACAGCUGAUAAAUUAAUGUUUUUUUAUAGCACCAUUGAGGCGAGCACUUUUCAAGGCAAGAUUCUUUAUAGAACCUUAUAAAAAGUUUCCAUAUAGUACCAAAAAACGGGUUCUGCUGUGGUUACAUGCUGAGGAACCCUUAUUUGGUACUUUUUAGGAGCAUUUGUCUUAAGAGCGUUGCAUAGGUUCGAAACUUUCAAACUUGAAACCAAAUAGAAGGGUCACACUGUUUUAUUUGUGGAGUGGACAUGAACAAGCUGCAGGCAUUCAAAUGUUAUUUGUAAUGUAUUGUCUUAUUUCAUAUUAAAAAAAUAGCUAUACAACUGGUGUUCCUCAAUUUUAGGGCCUAUUUUGUUUAGUAUAUCAGUUUUGUUCAGUUUUUUAAGUGCAUGCAAAAAGCAAUCAGCAAGCAAAUUAACUGAAGCUUUACCUUCAUGUUCUUUUUGUGUAAGUGAUAACUGUUUCUGUAUGUAUUUUAUGUAUUUGUAUGUUUUUUACACGUAUAGAGUGAAAUGCACACGGUGAGGAAUGGACCCAGACCUUCAGUGCCAGACCUCUGACCCGUUAACCUCCAUCCCGACAGCCAGCGCCUUCUCCGGCACCCAUUGCGGUAUCGCUUCUCGGCUUUUUGGACAAGAUCAAGUGGACACCGGGGACUACAAGUUUAAAUGGAUUUUUGACCUUCGGAAAUGGAAGCGAGGCUUGCUCCGUCCACUCCAUUCAUCGACUCGGGCGCUUUCCGGGCACAAAUAAGUUUGCGGAGGUGAUACCAGGACGAAUUAAACAGCCUCGACACAGCUGAAGGCGCAACAAAAUCGUACGAGACAGUUUGGGAUGUUAAAAACACCUGAAAACUUUUUUUUUCCACUACCCUUCAUACUACAGCUGUCGAAAAACCACAGCAACGUCGACACGCCUGGAAGCACGGCUGUCGAAGAACCACAGCAACGUCGGCAGAUCUGGAAGCAUAGCUGUAUUUGUUUAACUCACAACGACAACGGGUAAGUCAUUGAGCCCUUGUGUUUUUAUUUAUCCACGUUCUAAAAUUGCUAUGCUUUCGUUGUUUCUCGAUUGCUCUGUACAUUUCUUUGUUUCUAUUCCACGUAAAGUUACUUUGUAAUAACGAAACGAUAUAUUGAAAUGCGCUAUUUAAAUCCAUUUGAUUUAAAUUGUUUCACGUUUUUCUCUCUGCACGGUUUAACCGGGCUGGAAACGG